AAAGAUAGCUUGAAAUAUUUGAUUUAGAAUGAUUUAAAGAAGGAGCUUUUAUGUGUUUUCCAAUUUAUUGAUUUUUGUUAAUCAAAUCGGUGGUUCAAACUGGAAUGGGAAUAAUCGUACUAUACCAGCAGGAGAGAAGCGGGUGUCAUAUUUGUGGUGUUCCUCAACUUCUUUCAGCAUUCUAGUGUUUUUUUCACGAGACAGUGAGAUGACUCUUAAAGUUUUACUGGCAAACACGAGAGUAACCUGAAAGUGAACUACAUGCUACCAGAAGUGCUGUAAUUAUUUUGAGAUUAACAAAGAGAAGGCAUCUUUAAAUGAUGAGAUAUUCUCAGAUUUGUUUACCUGACAUAGUACCUGUCCACAAUUGCUUACACAAAUACUGCUCUUGGCUAAACAAAAUCUUGUUUUAUGUCAAGAACCAGUGGAUGGAACAUGAAAGAAAUAGGCUUGAAGCAAACACUCCUUUAGUACAAAAUAGUUGCUGUCAAAUAUGCUCCCUUGAUUGUCGUUGCAUCCUCUUUACCCAGAACAGGAGUAGGAAGGUCAUUACAGAACUAAAACCUGUGUGGAAAGAUAGGGUCUGGAAAGUUGUACUCGAUGAGCCUUGCAGGUCCAUUCCAACUUGGGAUACUCUGUUCUAAGAACUUUUCGCAGAAGUCCCUCAGAAGUUACUUCUUGUGUUCCCACGUGCACAGAACUAUCUGGCCUGUCCCCGAGACAAAAGUGAGAUGUGUACACACAUCAUACCCCCAUCAAAAUUCCCAGAUCUAACCUCGCAGGUCCUGAAACGUGAUGUACUUUAAUGCACACAUGUUGCCUUGGAAACCAUGUAGGUAAAACUGUGCUGUUCUGCAAACUCUUAACAGCUGAUGGACAAACAUCUGAAUGCUUUGGGAGGGAAAUAACAUCUCUGUCAAACCCAAUUCUCAGAGGAUUCCUACAAAUGUAAAUGGUAAUCCUAUACAUCUAUUUCUAGAAAUACUUAGGAUCUAUGUUCGGUCUCCUUCACCCUCCUGAUGUUAUUACACUGGCUGUAACUUACCUGUUUCUCUGCUCAAAGAAGAGGUGCCCAUCAUUUUUCUCCUGCUAGUCCCUCCAUGCUCAAUUCCUAGUUUCUUUUUCAGAUCGUGAUAGGCAGAGAAAAGUGUAAGCUUAAAGCAGCUGCUUCCAAAAUUAAGCAAAGUUGCUUAACAUAUGAACACAA